rnacentral:misc_RNA from 1 species
AAAAAAAAAAAAAGAAUGAGCUUUCUCAGCUAAUAAAUUUUAUCAUAUCUAUUGACCUGAAUAGAAUGGUAACAGUAAACAAGAGUUGCCAGAUCUUAUCUGAGUAUCUUUGUUCCUGUUUGUGCAUUAUAGUCAUUGGACCUUUGAACUUGUGUCAAAUGUCCAGUUGUCGGGGAUGUGAAAGUGGGUGAUAACCUCUCAGGUCAGGUGUAGUUGUUUAUUAAAGGAACUUAAGCUUUCUUCUUUCUUCAUUGGUAUCAUGAAUCUUUUAUCCUCAAAACUUGACCGCAUAGAAGCCAGAGGAUCCCACAUUAGAAAGCCUAAUAUUAGACAUCUCCAUAGUCCUGUGACAUUGGAAUUCUGUUGUAGCUAUUAUGUAAUUGAUGGACUAAGACUUUUAUUCUGGAUCCAUAAAGAGAGAUCAGAGAACUUGUACAUGUUGUCCUAAAUGAAUGAUGAAUUUCUGUUCCAAAUAUGUAACAUCAGUUUGGUGUCCAAAAAAGUUUAGAAGAAGUAUAAUGUUGCACUGGAAGAAAUCAACGUGAUCUACUCUCAGAACUCCCUAGCCAGGCAUGAACACAACCCUUAUUUCACCUUCGGCUCAUUCUCUUUUUCGAUGCUUGAGCUGAAUAUGUGCUUCCUAAACAUCUUGAACUCCUAGUAGCCUUUGGCCCAUGCUACUUGAUCAUUAAUUCAUUAUUGAAUGUAAAGAUUCCUUUUUGGCCUUUUGGUUAGGGAAAUAGCGUGCUUACAUGUUAUGGGCUUAAAACAAAUAGCAGAGAAGGUAAUCUGGUGUCUGCACUUUUCUUUAAUAAGUCGGCAUGUCUUUUUGCAAAUUUUGGCUCCUCUUUAAGAUAUAAAUUCAUGGCACUUGUUGAAAUUAUAAUUUUUGGAUUUCAAGAUUUGCUAAAGUGAAAAUAGAAACUUUUUGCAAUUUUUGGCUCCUCUUUAAGGUAUAAAUUCAUGGCACUUGUUGAAAUUAUAAUUUUUGGAUUUCAAGAUUUGCUAAAGUGAAAAUAGAAACUUUUUGCAAUUUUUGGCUCCUCUUUAAGG